rnacentral:lncRNA from 1 species
CUAAGGUAUAAAUUUCAAUACAAAAAGCAGAUAUAUAUUGAAAUUACAAUAAUAUAAAUUUAAAAAACCCCUAUGGAUAGAAAAUAUUCCUGAAUUUUCACUAAAAUGUUAACUGUGAUUGUCUUUGGGGUAGGUCAUUAGGUAACAGUGAACACUCUGAUGCGAAGGAUAAAACAGACAGGGAUUCAAUCACAGCCCUCAGCACAUCUGCAGCCUAGCAGAGAAGAGAAGCCACAUCUCUACAGACAUGUCCUGGCAGUGAAGACUCUGCCUCAGGUGUGAUCAGUGAAACACAUCUGGGACCAUACAAAAAGUCUAAGAACUCCUAAAAGGACUUCAGAAGCUACGUACUCAAACAUAAUGUGAAGCGUUAUUCUUCCUCCAAGUCAGUAAUCGUCACCAACAUCGGUGGGGCAGGAGAAGAGGAAGGUACAGCUUCGCGCAGACUGCUCCUCAGAAUCCCAGUCAGACCCUGCGGAGGUGCCGGAGUCUUCAACAUUCACGUGAGUCACCUCUCCUGCUGCCUGCUCCUCUCUCUCAUCACAAACCAGUGUUCUAGUUUCCCUUUGCUGUCCCACUUUGGCAUAACAAUUGGCUGUCUUUGUGUGAAUGUCUUUUAUAGCUCUUUGUCUUGAACCUUAGUGAAUUCCUGCCCUGGCACCUAGUUCCCAGAUUUCCCCUAUGACUUUUCUAUCUGUUCCCAGGAAUUGUAGCUUUGCCAGCAGUGCAGUGAAUCAAAUCAACUCCCAAACCGUGAAGUAAAGGGUACGGUUUCAGACAUCCAUAUACUGGUUUCAGUGUCUUCUUUCUGGCACAAGAACUCAAAUGCUCCCUGAGAGAAAAACAUCCAACACAGAAUUAUAAUUAUUGUCACAAGCCGGGUAUCAGUAAGUAUAUAUACAUAAAAACCGGCUACUCUUUAGAUCCUUAUUUUGUUUCUUCAGUGAGAGCUAUUCUUGGAAAGUUUACUUAAGGCUCACAUGCAUACAAGUGACUGUUAAAAUCCGACAUGGCAGUUGAAGAGAACAGUAAGUGAACUCAUCUGUUCUGACAACCUCAUCACAUUCACCUCGAUAAGAUCAGAAAUGUGGGAUGUACAAAAGGUGGGAUAUAUGACACCAGAAAAUAUUAAGGAGAAGACAUGAUGGAAAAAUCUUAGUAGUUGGGAGGGUUGAGGUCAAGGGAGGUGAUGGAAAGGCUAGAUAUGAGGAGGAAGGGAGAGAGAGAGAGGUAGAGAGAGAGAGAGAGAGAGAGAGUGAGAGCGCACACACAUAUCCUGCUGAAAGGGAAGGAGAAAAACAUCGACAGGAGCUGAAGUCUUUAAAUGUUUCAUUAAAG